rfam:Hordeum vulgare subsp. vulgare, WGS project CAJW01000000 data, contig: morex_contig_158982
AUGCUACUUCCUCCGUCCAGAAAUACUUGUCCGAGAAAUGAAUGUAUCUAGAUGUAUUUUAGUUUUAGAUACAUUUUUUUUUCAUUUUUCGGACAAAUAUUUUCGGACGGAGGGAGUAUUUG